rnacentral:piRNA from 1 species
UNGUCUGGAGCAUGCCUGUUUACCUG